GAGAGAGAGAGAAAUUUUAAAAUAAGAUCAAUGGUACAAUGACGAAACAAAUCCAUCUAGCUUGGCGUAAUUCUUAUAAUGGCUCUGUACUGGUAGAAAUUAUACCUUAGUGGCAUAUAUAUUUUACAUGGGUUUCACCACAACCGUUCACUUGUGUGGUAACGUUGCAGAAUGAUCUUCAGAGGCAGUUGGUACAGAUUAACAAUCCAGCCAACCACCAUCCUGUGCCUGCUAGGGGUGUGGCAGCGGAGAAUCAGCCCAAAUUCCAGAGAUCUUUCAUUGACGGCGAUUUUGACUUCCUAAAACACUUGACGUACGAGGAGCUCCACCAACGCAUGGCCACGCUAGACCAGGAGAUGGAGCGAGAAAUUGAUGAGCUCCGUCAGCGAUAUCAGGCCAAAAGGCAACCUAUUCUCGAUGCCAUGGACCAGAAGAGAAAGAGACAGCAGAAUUUCUAGCAUAUUGGCAGUGUGUAUAGUUACUGUACAGUGAUUUUUACUCUAAGCUUCCAAGACAUGAUAUUUGGACACAUUGGGAAGGACUGUGAUCGGUACUCAUUGUAAAGGAAACGUCUCGAGUGGAGUAUCAGCGGAAAGGAAUUGUUUAUAAUUCGGAAAUUGAUGAUUUUUAUCACUUAUUAAUAUUCAAAUGAUGCUUUGUGAUACCUAUUCCUUUCUGGUGAAGACAUAUUGAUUGUACCAAGCCACAAGAUAUCACUGGGAUGCAUUCUCACUGUGGUUUGUGCCGUGUGAUUGAUAUUCCGGGAUACUGUACUGUACUGUAGGGGCGCUGGAUGCUUAGACUGAAAGACAUACUAGAAAUAACUUGCAAACAUUGUGAACACCUUGAACCAUGAUACAGAAUGGCAUGUUUGCUGCUAUCCAGUGAUUGAAAAUGCUGGUUUGUUUGUACUGUACUGUGGAAAGGCUACAAGCUGGUUUGUUGUGACCCAAGCUUCAGCUGAGUGUAAUCUUCAGAAUGACUUAACACUAGAAAGUAAUUUGAUUCAUAGAUAAACCUUAGCUUGUACCAGCAAUAAAAAAGAAACCCUGAGGAAUUAAACUAAAUACAUUUUUACCAUUAAAAUUUGUAAUAAAAAAAAAGUAAAAAAAAAAAAAAUGGCGAUU